CAACAGCUCAAAUUUGAAAUCUGGCCCCGGCGGGGUCCGAGUUGUAAUUUGUAGAGGGUGUUUCGGGCGCGAUGCCGGUCUAAGUUCCUUGGAACAGGACGUCGUAGAGGGUGAGAAUCCCGUAUGCGACCGGCGAUCAAGCCCGUGCGAAGCCCCUUCGACGAGUCGAGUUGUUUGGGAAUGCAGCUCAAAACGGGUGGUAAAUUUCAUCUAAAGCUAAAUACCGGCCAGAGACCGAUAGCGGACAAGUAGAGUGAUCGAAAGAUGAAAAGCACUUUGGAAAGAGAGUCAAACAGUACGUGAAAUUGUUGAAAGGGAAGCGCUUGCGAUCAGACCGGUCCGCCGGCGAUCAGCCGCUGCUCGUCAGCGGUGCACUCGCCGGCGAUCCGGCCAGCAUCGGUUUGGGCGGCGGGACAAAAGCCCCGGGAACGUAGCUUCCCUCGGGGAGUCUUAUAGCCCGGGGCGCCAUGCCGCCCGCCCGGACCGAGGACCGCGCUUCGGCUAGGAUGCUGGCGUAAUGGUCGCAAGCG
rnacentral:rRNA from 1 species